rnacentral:pre_miRNA from 1 species
AGUGGAAUUACUGGGUCAUAUGGUAGGUUUAUGUUUAAUUUUUCAAGAAUUUUCCAACCUUUCCCAAAGUGAGUAUGCCAUUUUAUAGUCCCACUGACAAU